AAUGAACGCUGGCGGCAUGCCUUACACAUGCAAGUCGACGGCAGCACGGGGCAACCUGGUGGCGAGUGGCGAACGGGUGAGUAAUGCAUCGGAACGUACCUUUCAGUGGGGGAUAACGUAGCGAAAGUUACGCUAAUACCGCAUAUUCUGUGAGCAGGAAAGCAGGGGAUCGCAAGACCUUGCGCUGAUUGAGCGGCCGAUGUCCGAUUAGCUAGUUGGUGAGGUAAAGGCUCACCAAGGCGACGAUCUGUAGCGGGUCUGAGAGGAUGAUCCGCCACACUGGAACUGAGACACGGUCCAGACUCCUACGGGAGGCAGCAGUGGGGAAUUUUGGACAAUGGGGGCAACCCUGAUCCAGCCAUGCCGCGUGAGUGAAGAAGGCCUUCGGGUUGUAAAGCUCUUUCGGCGGGGAAGAAAUCGCACGGGCUAAUACCCUGUGUGGAUGACGGUACCGGAAUAAGAAGCACCGGCUAACUACGUGCCAGCCGCCGCAGUAAAAC
rnacentral:rRNA from 1 species